CCUACAUAAACCUUUGGGGGUUUUUCUCCCUCGAAAUAUGUAACCUGUUUGCCUGAUGACUCAAACUGAAUUAUUCCGCUGCUGUAUCAUUCGCUACGUACUUCAGUCUGAGAUUGCCAUCAUUGAAGUCAUUUGUGAUGACAUCAAAAUAAGAGGUGUUGUACAAAACAAAUUCAUCAGCGAUAGGAUCAUCUCUAACCAAUCAGAGCAUCAAAGCCAAUGUUGAAUUUUCAAAACGGUGCUUUACUCACCUGUUCUGGCUCUGGCCCAACCCAUCGGUUUGUAGGACCUGUCAGAUGGUCUAGAAUGGAUUUCCAUUCUAGAAUUCAUCGGGGGGGGGGGGUUACUCAGAUCCAGAUUCAUUGCGGAGAAAAAACUAGCGUCAGUGGGCGUGGUGUAGCGUUUGGCUGGAGCAAGGAUUUUGGGUAGCCAGGCGAGCAACCUGUAGGUUGUAUGUGGAUUGUUUAGACCUGCAGACAGAACAGGUCUCAGGUCUCAGGUCUCAUGGCAUCCACUUUGUUCAUCUUUAUUUUUUACGCAAAACCAAACGGAACACAACAAGAGCUGAUAAUGCUACUGAACAGACAUGAAGCAUAUGCCUGUAGUGCUAAGAGUCCUGAUACAUAUUGAGGAUUCACCAGAUUAGAAGAUGACAGCACACAGCAGGGUGGUGGAGACGCUGGUGAUGACGCUGACCCUAAUAGAGGGUAGGUUUUCAUCAGACAUUCAUAUCCCAGGUGGGGGUGGAAGGUCCUAUAUAUAGGGGCAGUACUCAGUGACAUCACUUCCUGAAACAGGAGGUAAAAAUAUGGGCUUCCGGCGCCGACAGAGAUGGCCGCCUCGCUUCGCGUUCCUAGGAAACUAUGCAGUAUUUUGUUUUUUUACGUGUUAUUUCUUACAUUGGUACCCCAGGUAAUCUUAGGUUUCAUUACAUACAGUCGGGAAGAACUACUGAAUAUAAGAGCAACGUCAAUUCACCAUCAUUACGACCAGGAAUAUGACUUUCGCGAAGCGGAUCUUGUGUUCUGCCUUCCACCCAGGACAAUGGAUCGGAUCACAGCCGGCGACCCUAAACAUGACGCUGUAAAAGAGGCAAACGAAGCGGUCUUCUGGUCAGGCUCCGGAGACGGGCACAUCACGCACCACUCCCUAGCAUGCUACUCACCAAUGUCCAGUCUCUUGAAAACAAGGUUGAUGAAAUCCGAGCAAGGGUAGCAUUCCAGAGAGACAUCAGAGACUGUAACAUUCUUUGCUUCACGGAAACAUGGCUCACUCGAGAGACGCUAACAGAGUCAGUGCAGCCAGCUGGUUUCUUCACGCAUCGCGCCAACAGCGGGGGUAUGCCUUUUGAUUAACGAGACCUGUUGUGAUCAUAACAACAUACAGGAACUCAAGUCCUUCUCUUCACCUGACUUAGAAUUCCUCACAAUCAAUCAAGGGAAUUCUCUUCGAUUAUAAUCACAGCCUUAUAUAUUCACCCCCAAGCAGACACAUCGAUGGCCCUGAACAAACUUUAUGUGACUCUUUGCAAACUGGAAACCACAUAUCCUGAGGCUGCAUUCAUUGUAGCUGGGGAUUUUAACAAGGCUAAUCUGAAAACAAGACUCCCUAAAUUGUAUCAGCACAUCGAUUGCGCAACCAGGGCUGGUAAAACCUUGGAUCAUUGCUAUUCUAACUUCCCCGACGCAUAUAAGGCCCUCCUUUCGGAAAAGCUGACCACGACUCCAUUUUGUUGCUCCCUGCCUACAGACAGAAAAUAAAACAAGAAUCUCCCGGGCUCAGGUCUGUUCAACGCUGGUCCGACCAAUCUGAUUCCACGCUUCAAGACUGCUUCGAUCACGUGGACUGGGAUAUGUUCCGCAUUGCGUCCAUCCUCCCCUCCUUCGUCCAUCCAUAGUUUCCUAGGAACGCGAAGCGAGGCGGCCAUCUCUGUCGGUGCCGGAAGUUAUUUAACCACAAUGUCUCUCACGUUUGGGGGUCUUUUGAGAGAGAGAGAGAGAGAGAGAGAGAGAGAGAUUAAAUUCACACAGGAUACUGGAUAAGAAAGGAGAAAGGAGAAAUACUCCAGAUAUAACAGACUGACCCUAGCCCCUCGACACAUAAACUACUGCAGCAUGAAUCCUGAAGGCUGAGACAGGAGGGGUCGGGAGACACUGUGGCCCCAUCCGACGAUACCCCUGGACAGGGCCAAACAGGCAGGAUAUAAACCCACCCACUUUGCCAAAGCACAGCCCCCACAUCACUAGAGGGAUAUCUUCAACCGCCAACUUACCAUCCUGAGACAAGGCCGAGUAUAGC
ensembl:lncRNA